UGAGGAAUAUUGCACAAUGGGCGAAAGCCUGAUGCAGCGACACCGCGUGAAGGAUGAAGGUCUUAGGAUUGUAAACUUCUGUUAAGUGGGAAAAAAGAUCCAUCUCGAAUAAAGAUGGAGGAUGAUGGUACCACUAGAGAAAGCACCGGCUAACUUCGUGCCAGCAGCCGCGGUAAUACGAGGGGUGCAAACGUUAUUCGGAAUUACUGGGUGUAAAGGGUAUGUAGACGGCAUCUUAAGUCAAUCGUUAAAUUCCCCGGCUUAACUGGGGGCAGGCGAUUGAAACUAAGAAGCUAGAGAGUGGAAGAGAGAAGUGGAAUUCUCGGAGUAGCGGUAAAAUGCGUAGAUCUCGAGAGGAACACCGAUGGCGAAGGCAGCUUCUUGGUCCAUAUCUGACGUU
rnacentral:rRNA from 1 species